rnacentral:rRNA from 1 species
GGAGGGGUGCAAGCGUUGUUCGGAAUUAUUGGGCGUAAAGAGCGUGUAGGGCGGUUCGGUAAGUCAGAUGUGAAAGCCCUGGGCUCAACCCAGGAAGUGCAUUUGAAACUACCAGACUUGAGUACGGGAGAGGAGGGGGGAAUUCCCGGUGUAGAGGUGAAAUUCGUAGAUAUCGGGAGGAAUACCAGCGGCGAAGGCGCCCCUCUGGACCGAUACUGACGCUGAGACGCGAAAGCGUGGGGAGCAAACAGGAUUAGAUACCCUGGUAGUCCACGCCGUAAACGAUGAGCACUAGGUGUAGCGGGUAUUGACCCCUGCUGUGCCGUAGCUAACGCAUUAAGUGCUCCGCCUGGGGACUACGGUCGCAAGACUA